UGAGUAGGCUCUCUUCAAAUUUGCUUGUGUGGAACAACCAUUUCGGGGAGUCACGUGGUUGGUGCAGCAACCAUCACAUCAAACAUUGCUUUUGUGGCUAAAAUUAGAGCGAAUCACCAACACCAUUGAUCAAUCAUGGACAAGCUAACGCUCUCGUUUUUCUUUUGUUGUUAACCCUCAUUCGGUCCAAAGUUUUCCGCUGCCCAAAC